rnacentral:rRNA from 1 species
UACGUAGGGGGCAAGCGUUGUCCGGAAUCAUUGGGCGUAAAGAGCGUGUAGGCGGCCCGAUAAGUCCGCUGUGAAAGUCCAGGGCUCAACCCUGGGAUGCCGGUGGAUACUGUCGGGCUCGAGUCCGGAAGAGGAGUGUGGAAUUCCUGGUGUAGCGGUGAAAUGCGCAGAUAUCAGGAGGAACACCGGUGGCGAAGGCGGCAUCCUGGACCAACACUGACGCUGAGUGAGCGAAAGCCAGGGGAGCAAACGGG